rnacentral:RNase_P_RNA from 2 species
AAGGAUGAUCGGGUGAUUACCUGGACAAACGUCUGGGAGGAAAGUCCGAACACCUCGCAUACAGCAAUGUAUGCGGACAAGAAAAGUUGUUAACGACAACCAAGGAUACGCAUUCGAGCGCGAGGCGUUGGAGCAAUUCACGCUUUGAUCCCGAAUACAAACCUUAGGGAAAGUACCACAGAGACGAUACUAAUUUUGCGAAGCAAAAUUAUCCUGAGCGAGCGAAGCGAGUCGAAGGGUGCAAACAUGUGCAUAUACCCUUCGACAAGCUCAGGGUCAUUUUGCUUCGCAAAAUGAAAGGUGAAAAGUGAUGUGAUGUUCGCAAGGACUACACAUCUCGCUGCAUGGUGACAUGCAUGUGUGGCAAACCCUUCUCCUCGAGCUAACGUGAGAGGAGUCACCCGAAGCUUUAUGCGAAGGGUGGUUCGGUGAAAGAGCAAAUUUGGUAGCUCGCACGAUCUCAUUGGCGACAAUGAGACAAGAUAGAUGAUCGCCUCAUUCGUCGAAAGACGGAUUAGACAAAAUUCGGCUUACAGAUCACUCCUUUAGA